UCUCGAUUUUGAUUUAGGAUUACUCUGGCACAAAUAUGGCGCCACGUAUAGAACGACACGUCAAUUCCUACUGUCAGCAAUGUACGAUUUCCACGAGAAAGGGACCGCCAUAGAGCAAAUCGUGGCGGAAGAAAUGAAGUUUUUAAUAGACGACUACAUAUCAGAGCAUGGGAAGGCAUUCGACCCACGUCCCGUGAUCAGAAUGUCUACUGCCAACAUUAUAUUUACCAUAUGCAUUUCGAAGAGGUGGCAAUAUCCGGAUGAUAAAUUGACGGAAGUUUUAGAUUGGAAUCGACAGAUGAUGCUGACUUACAACUCCCCCAUGAACAAGUUUCCGUUGUUGCGCUUCAUGCCUGGAAGCCAGGUGUCUAAAGGAUGCAAGUCGGCUUCAGAACUACGCAAACUUAUACGAACAGGCGUGCAGGGAACAUAGCUUCCAGUUUAAUCCGCAAAAGCGAGAGACAUUGCUG